rnacentral:sRNA from 1 species
ACCCCGGUAUUAUUGCUGUUAUGGGUUUAAAUCGAGCUUAGCCUUGUUCAUUUUUUUACACAACACCCCCGUAAAAAAUACAACACGGCCCGCUCAAGCUCGCGGGCGCCAAGAAGACUGAAGGCAAAAAAACGCCCCAAAGUGCCUCAAAAAUGCCUCGCGAGUGCUUUUUUAGGGCAA